GGCUAAUGGCAACCUCUUGUACCUUACAGCACGUUAUCUACUCAGCAGAAUACCCUUUCGUCAUCAACAUCUUCUGGGCGCACUUCGACAUCCACUCUUUUGCACACAAGCGUGGAGAGUGAGGCGAAUCUUCAUUCUUCCUCCAGCACUUUCUCCACCACAUCCAGCACCGUCUCUGCACCUCCCCCCGUGGUCAGUGUCUCUUCCAGUCUCAAUAGUGGCAGUAGCUUGGGCCUCAGCCUAGGCAGCAACUCUACCGUCACAGCCUCCACUCGAAGCUCAGUUGCUACGACUUCAGGAAAAGCUCCUCCCAACCUCCCUCCUGGGGUCCCGCCGUUGUUGCCUAAUCCAUAUAUUAUGGCUCCAGGGCUGUUACAUGCCUACCCGGUAAGUGAGACUGAAGGAU